UAGAGUUUGAUCAUGGCUCAGAUUGAACGCUGGCGGCAGGCCUAACACAUGCAAGUCGAACGGUAACAUUUCUAGCUUGCUAGAAGAUGACGAGUGGCGGACGGGUGAGUAAUACUUGGGGAUCUGCCUUUGUGAGGGGGAUAACUACUGGAAACGGUAGCUAAUACCGCAUAAUGUCUACGGACCAAAGGGGGCUUCGGCUCUCGCGCAAAGAUGAACCCAAGCGAGAUUAGCUAGUUGGUGAGGUAAAGGCUCACCAAGGCGACGAUCUCUAGCUGUUCUGAGAGGAAGAUCAGCCACACUGGGACUGAGACACGGCCCAGACUCCUACGGGAGGCAGCAGUGGGGAAUAUUGCACAAUGGGGGGAACCCUGAUGCAGCCAUGCCGCGUGUGUGAAGAAGGCCCUAGGGUUGUAAAGCACUUUCAGUUGUGAGGAAAGGGUAACGGUUAAUACCCGUUAUCUGUGACGUUAGCAACAGAAGAAGCACCGGCUAACUCCGUGCCAGCAGCCGCGGUAAUACGGAGGGUGCGAGCGUUAAUCGGAAUUACUGGGCGUAAAGCGCACGCAGGCGGUUUGUUAAGCUAGAUGUGAAAGCCCCAGGCUCAACCUGGGAACUGCAUUUAGAACUGACUGACUAGAGUCUUGGAGAGGGGAGUGGAAUUC
rnacentral:rRNA from 1 species